AUCGCUUCUCGGCCUUUUGGCUAAGAUCAAGUGUAGUAUCUGCUCUUAUCAGUUUAAUAUCUGAUAUGUCCUCUAUCCAAUAAAUGUUUUGUUCCAAAAAAUAUAUAUACAAAAAAACCCUUCUUCCUUAAAAAAAUUUUUUUUUUUGGUACCGGGGAUCGAACUUGGGUCCUUGCGCUUGCAUAGCAGGCGGCAAAACCACUGAGCUCAAUCCCCGGCCCCAUUAAAAAAAU
ensembl:snRNA U2 U2 spliceosomal RNA